CCGACUAUCUUGGAAUACCGACAGUGUCACACACGGAAGAUUGUUGUGUAAAUGGAACUAGUUCAAACAUUAAAUAUACUUCCAUUCCUUUGACACAUAUUUAAAAGAAUACUGAGGCAAUGAUUCAAUAUGUCUACCUGUUACAUUAACUCCAGUUAUGUUGUUAUCUGUGUAUUCAUUUUAUUAUUCAAUUUAAUUUGUGGAUCGAAUUGUUCAAACUUUAUGACAGUUAUAGAAAUUGAUGGAGAAUCCACUCGGUUGCAGAAACUAAUAGCUGAUAAUGAAACAGGAGAAAUAUAUGUUGGGGGGCAAAACACCUUGGUUCAGCUUAAUCCAGCACUUGAAAUUAAAAACCAGGUGACAAUAGGUCCAACAAAUGAUAACAAAAAUUGUUUACCAUUUCCUGAAAGUUGUCAUGAACAAAGAAUCAAAAUGGCUAAUGACGUUAAGAUACUUGAAAUUGAUCAUAGAAAGCGUAAAUUGUUAGUUUGUGGUAGUGGACAACAAGGUCUUUGUUACAUGCACAGUUUAAUAAAUAUCACUAAUCUGCAAGCCAUGGACAGAACCACCAUUACAAAUUUUGUGGGAAGUCGUUCUUCUAGUGCAGCAUUUUUUGGUUUGGUUAAUAAUAACAAUUUUUUAUAUGUUAUGCAGACGUAUGAUAAAAGGAACUUAAGUCUUUCACCACUACUGCUAUCGACAAGAAGAAUUGAACAGUUUAAUCAUGGUUUUAAUAUUUCUUAUUUUGUUGAUGAGCCGGAGCUUGAUUUGUUUUCUGGUCUUGAUGUACAUCCGAUUUUAAAACCAAACUUUUACAUUAAAGCUAUAAUAGCUUUCAGCCAUAAAGGAUAUGGAUAUUUUCUUAAAGUUCAGGAAGAAGAUGGUAUUGUUGUUACAAAACUUGGACGUGUUUGUUUACAAGAUGAAAAUUAUUAUUCAUAUUUGGAAACGAAACUGGCAUGUACACGUAAUAACUUUUUGUUUAAUGUAGCAACAGCUGCCCACAUAGCAGACGAAAACUUAUAUGUGGCAGCCGGCAAGAAUUUGAAGCAGUCUUAUGAAUAUGAUCCUAAAGGUGGAUCUGCUGUGUGUCUGUUUCCUCUUUCUAAUAUUGAGUCACAUUUUCAAGAAGUUCUGCGAGAUUGCUACGAAGCUGGUACAGGUAUAGAGCCAUUUUGGAUCUUUAAUGCUAAAACGAAAUGUAAACAAAACAUUGACAUAGUACAGAAAAUUCAAGAUGGGACUACAGAUAGUAUUUGUAGUAUUAAAAAGAGACGUGGAAUUCAAUCAGAAAAAGUGAUGGAAGCUAAUGGAUUUUUUGACACAGAUAAGAUAAUCCAGGCAGUAGCUUCUAUACAACAACAUGAACAAACAAUUGUUCUAUUAGGAACAGUGGAUGGAUUUUUGUUGAAGGUACAUAAAUCUGAAGAACGAGAAUAUAUGAGUUUAUAUCUAGGUAAUACUACAUCCCAACAAUCUACAGCUAUAGAAUCUACUAUGUAUGUUGAUAAAGAAAGAUUAUAUCUACUUACUGGUAAUAAGGUUAUAAAGUUUUCCUUAGAUUCAUGUGGAGUACAUAGUGAUUGUGAUUCAUGUUUAUCAAGUUCAGAUCCUCUGGGAUGUGGCUGGUGUAGGGGAAAGUGUACAACAUACAAUGAAUGUGAUAAUGAUUUUAAUCGUAAUCAAUGUCCACCUUCUCUUCAUUCUAUUAAUCCUCUAAAUGGUCCAACUCAAGGUGGAACUUUAUUGACUUUGACUGGUCAAAAUUUUGGAAGCGCAAUAUUAAAAGAUAAAGCCAGUCUGACUGUUGAAAUUUCUAAGAUAAAAUGUGACAUUAAAAAUUCGAAUUCAACAUGGUUAAUAUGUCGAACUGGUCCUGCUCCUGUACAACAGAGACCAGUACAGAUAACAGUUACAGAUAGUAUCAUGUUUGGUAGAAGCUACCAUGUAGAAGGCACUGAUUACUCGGAACAAUAUUUCUCUUAUCAGGAACCAAAAAUAGAGUCUUUUCAACCAAAACAAGGGCCUGUAGCAGGAGGGACUAACAUAAGGAUCAAGGGAUAUAAUUUGAAUAUAGGAGGAUUGCCAAAUGUGUCUGUUGCUUAUAAUUUUACUUGUAUCAUUUUCAAUUUAACUAGUACACAGAUUGACUGUACAACUGUUCCUUGGUCAGAAACAUCUGGUUUCAUAUCAUCAAGAAGAAAAAGAUUUAUAAAUAGAGCUAAAGGAUAUGGUCCACUCAUUGUUAAAAUUGAUGAUGCUACCUUAAGUAUUGAUGAAAAUGAAGAAACUAACUUUUUCUACUUAGAAAACCCGACAAUUGAUCAUAUUUUACCACGUCAAUCUUUUGUUAGUGGUGGUAUACCAAUAACUGUGAGAGGAUCUAACUUGGAUUCAGUAGCUAGACCGUAUAUAGGAGGUUCGUUAGAUGCGAAAGACUUAACACAACAAGAGCUUUGUAAUGUUACGGAAGGAGGAGAAGCUAUGAUUUGUCCAGCUCUUGAUUUUAGUUCUGUCAUCACCAAUGCAGAGAAAACAGAUCCAGAGGAAGUCAAUUUGUGGUUUAUUAUGGAUGGUGUGGAAAAUUUACGCAACUUUCAUCAAACACAGGGGAAAUUAAGUAGUUUUACAUAUUAUCCUGAUCCAGUGUUUGAUAAAUUUCGUGGAGACGGGAAUGUUUUAGAGUUUGAUGUUUCACAAUCAAAUCUUGUCAUUGAAGGUGAUAAUAUAGGAUUAGGUUUUACACAGACAGAUAUAAAAGUUAUUGUAGGAGAUGAUAUAUGUAAAGUAAAAGAUUUAGAAGAAACUAAUAUUAAAUGUAUUCCGAGUAAUAAACCAACAUCUAUAAGUGAAAAUGAACCCAAGAGAAAAGUAGAGGUUCAUGUUGGUAAUCUUCAUUAUGAAAUAGGAUUUGUCAUAUAUACAGCAGGAGCAUCAGCUUCAACAUACCAACUUGUUAUACUGGGUGUAAUAAUAGCUUUAAUCUGUAUAGCCGUUUUCGUUAUAUUAUGUAUAAUGAAGAAAAAACGUAUUGGUUUCUUUAAACCCCCAUGUGAUGAUCGUAGUAUCAGAUAUACACAAGGUGAUCAUAUUGGUAUUGAUAGUUUAACACAACCUGGUGAACAUACUUUUAACCUAGAAAACAGACAAAACAAUUAUACAGAAAGAGAUGCUAUUGCUGCAGCUGCACCUUCAACCCUUAUAGAUGAUGAUCUGUUAGCUUUAAUAACAAAUGAAAAUCUGCUUAUAGACAGUGAACAUUUAACUAAAACUGAAAUAUUGGGCAAAGGUAAUUUUGGCUGUGUAUAUAAAGGGUUUCUUACAUUGCCUGAACAAAAAGGAGAUAUAUUGGUUGCUGUUAAAACUUUACAUCAGAGUAAUCCUCGUGAAAUAGAGCUAAAUGCUUUUCUUCAAGAGGCUCUAUUAAUGAAAGAUUUUCAUCAUGAGAAUGUUCUAGAAUUAAUUGGGAUAUGUCUUGGAUUAGAUGCCAUGCCUCUUGUUGUUCUACCGUUUAUGGAACACGGUGAUUUACUCAGCUACAUCAGAGAUGAAAAUAAUAACCCCACAAUUAAAGAUCUAAUACUGUUCGGUAUAGAUAUAGCUAAGGGAAUGGAAUAUUUAGCUGGCCUUAAGUUUGUUCAUAGAGAUUUAGCUGCCAGAAACUGCAUGUUGGAUCAAGAUUUCCGAGCAAAGGUGGCUGAUUUUGGUUUAGCGAGAGAUAUCUAUGAAAAAGAUUAUUACAGUUCAGACAAUAAAAAAACGAAAUUACCAGUAAAAUGGAUGGCAAUGGAAAGUUUGGAAAAAGGAACGUACAGUGCUAAAUCAGAUGUGUGGUCGUUUGGUGUAGUUUUAUGGGAAUUGAUGACAAGGGGAGUUAAUCCGUAUCCCGAGGUAGAUAACUGGGAUGUUAUACGUUAUUUAAAGGCUGGAAGAAGAAUGGCUCAACCCCAAUACUGUCCUGAUCCUUUGUUUGAGAUCAUGAGACAAUGUUGGAAUGCAAAUCCACAAGAUCGACCUGCUUUUAGUGAUCUUGUGAAUGAAAUUAGUAAUAUGAUACAAAAACUAGAACACAAAACAGGUCCACAGAAACGAAAUAUUGAAAGUACUUAUGUUAAUGUUGAUACAAGUGCUGAAUGUCAUUAUGAUGAAACAGAUAAAUUAAUGUCUGGGGCUACAGGGGGAGCCAUUGGUGGAUCAUCAUCAGAAGUCUAACAACCACAAUUUAUUUUAUAAAGUAUUAUAAUUUUUACAUGUUACUUUAGUAUUGUCUUAGAAAUGUUAAAUUUAAUGUUAUUAAUAGUGUACCAGUAGUAUACAAUCUAGACUCUUUAAGAAAUUGAUUUUUAAUGUGUAACUUUCAUUAUGUUUGCAAUAAAUCAUCAGGUAUUAUAUACGCAUUUCAUUAGAAAUAGACACAUUAUUCUGGUAUGAAUCCAAGACCUCUUCCCCAAAACAGGAUAUACCCCAUGACUGAUUUUUAGGGGAAAAAAACCUGGCAGUUUAUUAUUACUGUUUGUUUGAGAGAGAGAUAAAGAUGGCAGUGUCAGACCAAUAUAAACUUAAAAUAUUUCCCAAUUUUUCCAUGAAAAAAUCAAAUUUGUGUCUUACAAGCAAAUCAAAAGUAUCUAUGGAAUUUAAAGGUGAUUCUAUUUCCGAGAUAUCUGUACUGUAUAGAAUUAUAAAUUAUUCACUUCCACUCCUUAUCUCAGCCAUGAAUGUUUAGCCUAAUAAAUGUGGAUCAUAGGUUGGUUGAAAGUGCUUUUUGUACAUUUUUAUACACCCACAUUUUCAUGUGGACGUAUUAUGCCGUCGCCCCUGUUUGUCCAUCCGUCAACAAUUUGUUUGUGAACACUCAACAGGUCACAAUUUUUAUCCGAUUACGAUGAAACUUAAAAUAUAGGUCUGUCUCUCAAAGAUCUCGAUUCCUUUCGAUAUUGGCAUAUAUUGGACGAUAACUUCAUGGAUUAUGGCCCCUGAUUGUAAGAAAAAUCACAUUUUUAGCUUCUGAACACUCUAGAGGUCACAAUUUUCAUCUGAUUUUGAUGAAACUUAAAAUGCAUGUUUAUAACCCAAUGAUCUUGGUUCCUUUCAAUAUUUGCACAUAUCGGAUCAUAACUUCCUGAAUUAUGGCCCUUGAUUAUACGAAAAAUCGUGUUUUUAGUUUGUGGUCCCUCUUGAGGUCACAAUUUUUAUCCGAUUGAAAAAAACAUUUGAAUAUUUCACCGUUACACCCUAAUGAUGGCUAAGUUAGAAUUUCGUGAAAAUCGGACCAAAACUGCCGGACAAAAUGGCCACCCCUCGUACGCAAAUAUUGUAAAUAUAUCAAGGUUGUCGACCCUCUAGAAGUCACAAUUUUUAUCCGAUUGAAAAAAACAUUUGAAUAUUUCACCGUUACACCCUAAUAAUGGCUAAGUUAGAAUUUCGUGAAAAUCGGACCAAAACUGCCGGACAAAAUGGCCACCCCUCGUACGCAAAUAGUGUAAAUAUAUCAAGUUUGUCGACCCUCUAGAAGUCACAAUGUUGAUCCGAUUUUGAUGAAACUUGAAAUAUAUCUUUAUAACCCAAAGAUCUUGGUUCUUGUAUGUAUGCGUGCAUAUCGUACCAUAACUUCCUGAAUUAUGGCCCUUGAUUUUACGAAAAAAUCACUUUUUGUUUAGUUUGUUCUCUAUCCAUCUCUUGCAAAAUGUGGACUUAUCCUGUCUGGCAGCCGCUGUUUUUUUUUAUAGAAAUAUUUUUAUAUUUAUUUAUCUUGAGAAAUAUGACAUUCUGCAUUACAUGUGAAGGUUUUUGUACUUUAUUAUACUAUACGUCCACAUUCAUAAUGUGGACGUAUAUUGCCGUCUCCCCUGUGUGGGUGAGUGCGCGUGUGUGUCGCCUACAGACCGCAAUUCUUAACUGAUUGUCUUGAAACUUUACAUACUUACUCCUUAUACCCUAAGGAUGUUCCCUAUUUUUUUUGGUGCAUGCCCAUUGCCCAACCCCCAUGGGCAGAGCCACACCCUUUUUUUGUAUUUCUUUCUUUGUCGUCUACAGGUCGCAUUUCUUAUCGAAUCCACUUCAAACUUUGCAUAUUUAUUCCUUAUACCCUAAGGAUCGUCACUAUUGUUUUUGGUACAUGCCCAACCCCAAGGGAGGGGGGUUGGAUGGCUGAAUGGUUAGUGUGCGCGCGCUGUAUCAUAAAGUCUGUCAUUGAGUCGACUGGCGUGGUUUCGAAUCCCCGGUUGUACGUGACAAGGAGUAGGGUCGCCUGUCCAACCUCGUGGGUUUUUUCUGGGUCCUCCGGUUUCCUCCCACUGCUAAAGACCCCUAUGCGCAAGCGAAUAAUUGAAAUAAAAUCAAAAAACCAUAUGUUAGUCCCGAAAUGACCUAGUUUGUGUUGAGUGGAGUUAAACCCCAUUUCUCUCUCUCUCUCGCAGAGCCACGCCCAUUUUCUUUUUGGGUGUCUGUAUGUUGCCUACAGGGCGCAAUGCUUGACUUAUCGUCUUGAAACUUUACAUACUUAUUCCAUAUACCUUAAGGAUGAUCCCUAUUGUUUUUGGUGCAUGCCCGACCCCCAGUGGCAGAGCAACGCCAAUAUUUUGUAUUUUUUUGGCAUCGACAGGCUGCAUUUCUUAACGUAUCAUCUUGAAACUUUGCAUACUUAUUCUUUGUACCCUAAGGAACAGCCCUAUCGUUUGGGGUGCACGCCCAACUCCCAGGGGCAGAGCCACGCCCAUUUUCUUUUUGUGUGUCUGUUUAUCGCCUACAGGCCACAAUUAUUAAUCGAUCGUCUUGAAAAAAUUGCGUAUGAAUUCCUUAUACCCUAAGGAUGACCCCUAUUGUUUUUGGUGCAUGCCUGUCCCCCAGUGGCAGAGCCACGCCCAUUUCUUGUAUUUAUUUGUUUGUCAUCUACAGACCAAAUUUCUUAACAUAUUACCUUGAAACUUUGCAUACUUAUUCCUUCUAUCCUAAGGAACAUCCCUAUAUUUUUUGGUGAAUGCCCAAUCCCCAGGGGCAGAGGCACGCCCAUUUUCUUUUUGUGUGUUAUUGUGUCACUUACAGCUUGCAAUGCUUAAUCAGUCAUCUUUAAAACUGUUUUAUACUUAUUCCUUAUACCCUAAGGCUGACCUCUAUUAUUUUUGGUGCUUGCUCGACCCCCAGGGACAGAGCCACGCCCAAUGUUUGUGUUUCGCCUACAGGCCACAAUUCUUAACAGAUCCUUUUGAAACUUUGCAUACCUAUUUCUUAUACCCUAAGCAUGACAACUGCAUGUCCCAACCACCAGGGGAAGAGCCACGCCCAUAUUUUUGUGUUUAUCGUUUACAGGCCGCAAUUCUGAAUGGAUCAACUUGGUACUUGGCAUAUGUAUUCCUUAUAACCUAAGGACGUCAAUUAUGGAUUUUGGUGAAUGCCCUGACCCCCAGGGGCGAAGGCCACAAUACUGAAUGGAUUAUCUUGGAACUUGGUAUACUUAUUCCUUAUACCCUAUUUAUAUUGUUCCAUAUUCAACCACCAGGGGCAGAGCCACAUCCGAUUUUUGUAUUUAUCAUCUAUAGGCUGCAAUUCUGAAUGGAUCAUCUUGGAACUUUGCAUAUUUAUCCCUUAUACUGAAAGACAGCAACUAUUUAUUUUGGUACAUGCCCCGACUUCCUGGAGCAGUAUAAUUGUCAUAUUACAGCCAUCUCAUAUUUCAUUCUCUUCAUUUUAAAAAGUACCAUAUCAAUCAAAGCUGGAAUGUGGACGUAUAUUGCAGCGUUAGCGAUGCUCUUGGAAUUAUUCUUAACCACAUUGGUUGAUUCGCAGUUUUGAAUGGGAAAACUUGGAGAUGACAUUUUGAAUCUGCAGUAACCCUCAGCCCAGUCCCAAAAAAUUAGUGCUCAGUAUUUUAAAUAUUAUGCGUCGAUAUAUAAAAUUGUUUCAGGGCAUGGUAUGACAUCAUUCUUUCACUCAGCUGCAGUCUUAUACUAUCACAAAACAGGCAGAAUUGACAGGCAGAUGUCUAGAUUCUGUCCAAUUUCUGAUCCUUGCGUUCAUAAGAAUUUGCUCUCAGCUAUGACCUCAAAUGCCAGGUAAUUGACUUAAAUUUUCACAAUUUUAUUGGGGAGAUCCCCCAAAACCCCCCUUGUGUUACUUGCCCCUAUGGCACUCACAGGAUGCCUUUGGCAUGUUUAGCAGAGAGAAAUAGUAAGCUAGCAUAAAUGUUUAAUCUAUAGAAUUUUAACAUUUAAGAUCUAAUCAUGGUUCAAAAAGCUUAAAUAAUUGCCAAGAUGACCCAUAAACAAAGUCCCUUUUCUUCCUGAACAAUUUCAAAUUUGACCAAAUAUAAUGAUUUUAAAAACAUGACAAGGAAAUGAUAUAAAUAUAUUUUGCUAAUUUAAUUUGCUUUUGUAUGUUAUUAUUUAAUUAAUAUUACGAUACGAUAUUAUAUUAUAUUCUAUUAUAUAGCUUUAGCUUUAAUUUUAAUCAUUUAAUAAACCCACAUAUAUUAUAUUAAUUCUAGUUUUUAUUGGAUUUCGCAAAUAGAACCAUAUCACCAGAUUUAAAUAUUCAGUUCUGUAAGUCUCAACACGCCAGAUUGUUCACAUAUUUCUUAAAGUUAAAAAUAUGUGAUCAUAUUUUAAUACCAUGAUAUCUUUCAGUUGAGAUGUUUCAUCAUACACUCUCUUAUUAUAAAGAGUUGUAACAAGUUAGUAUAGGUGAAUAGAUUUGAGUUGAAAAAUGACAUGUUUUGUGUAUGUAAAAUCUAAGAAUAAAGUCCCAAUUUAUCCUCCAUACUUUCAUAUAGGUGUAUAUGAAUUUUCCUACUUCUGUUCCUCACUGUUUUGGUAAAAUAUGAUAGUCAUAACAAUGUUAUUCAUUUAAAUUCAAUUAAUACUCAGCAGAUCUUUUGAUGGUCUCCAGAAUAUCCUGUGUAUUCAUAAUUAGUUUUACAUGUUAUAGUGUACAUUUAUAUCUUGAUGUCGAUAAAAAUUAUUUGAAAUAUUAACAUUUCUGAAUAUGAAAUGGUGCUAAUCAUAAUGGCUUUUACAAAUUAUUGAAUUAAUUAAAUGAUUAUUUCUACACUGAUACUGCUAUUGUAAAAUAUGGUGUAAUCAGACCCAUGGUCUUAAGAGACCGACAUUUUAAUAAUAAUAAUAAUAAUAAUAAUAAAAACUUUAUUUAAUGAGGCAACAUAUUUAGUUUGCAAAAAAACCCAAAAAACUAAUCUUCCAUAGGUCCCUCCUAAGCUACAAAGACAUAUAUACAUGUAAUAUCAGGAUAAAUUUAAAAUCAUUAGAAAUGCAAUAGUAUUUUAAAGUGGGAAGUUUGAUAAGUCACUCCCAAACUACAAAACGUAUACAUUAUACAAGUAGGAUAUAGGAAGAACACUAUAAUUACACAGAAAAUAAAAUAGAAUGCAGUCGCAAGUUAAAAAUAAUAAGUAUGUCAUCAGUUGAAUAUUAUGGUUCCUUCAGUGUGCAAAAUAAAUGAGUUUUCAGUUCAAUCUUAAAAUGUUCAACAUUUUUACACAUCUUUAUAUCAAAAGGCAGAUUGUUCCAUAAAAGACAUGCAGAAUAAUGAAAAGUACGUUUCAUGGAUUCCGCUUUGCAUUUUUGAAGAAAAAGAGAUUUACUGGUCUGUGAACGGAGCAAGAUAUGUGGUAUUAUUUUGUCACUCAUUUCAUCUGUUUGUCUAAAUUGUUUAAAAGAAGUUAGCAACAGAGCGCUAACUAUCAUAAUGUUACGUUAACAUUAGUGAGAUGAAGAAAGUUGUUAAAUUUAAAUUAAUAUAUGACCAAGAUCGGUCCUUGUUCAUUUUAUGGAAUGCGCAGUCUAUUUUACAAUAGGGACUGAAGUUAUCUCCCCUUGUAGGCAUUUUUUGCAAAGAAUCUUUUAAUCUGCUGAAACUUCUGCUGGUUUAUUAUACUUGUAUAUAAUGUGAUUAGUAUUAUACUCUUUCUACUAAAUUUAUAUUUAUAUUCUUUAUUCUUUGAUCUCUUUUUAUAAUUACAUGAUUAUAACUCUGUCAAACCUAUUAUGAAUAAACAUUUUGAAGUGAGCUCAUACAUAUUUGUAAUAUAACUUGUCGAUUUCAUUAAAAUGUUGUAAACUUUGAGAAAAUAUUAUUGCAUUUUAAAGUAGGUUGAAUGCAGACAAAAUAUAACAAUAAAAUGUCACUGUAUGGUUUUAAAAAAAAUUAUAGUGCCAAUUACAUUUGCAUUUGAUUGUGUUUGCAAAGUCUUAAACUCAACACUACUUAUCGUUUAUUCAGGAGGAGCCACAGUGACUAAGUAAGUAAAAUGCUGACUUGCUAGCCUGGAGUUCGCGGGUUCACUGCCGGUGUUGACCAAGAAAGUUAAUUGGGAUUUCCGGCGUGGUUUCCCCUUGUCAGUGGUGCAAAAACCGAGGUCCUGUGUAAAGAUUGGCGUGCACGUAAAAGAUCCUGCGGCAGAUGGAAUUCGAUAUAAGAGUGCACCACUGUCCUGACAAAAUUUCCCAAAAUAGUACACUGCAUGGUGUAUGCACGUCUUCAUUAGCAGAACAGUAGGACAUUAAACCCCAGUUUGGCAGACUCCACCAUUGCUCCAUUAUUACCCGAAAGUUAUUCUCAAUUUUAUAAAUAUUAAUUACAUGUUAUUAUUUACUUAUGUUGUAUAAUUUUCUUAAGCUUACAUUUAAUAAAUCAGUAUUCAUUUUG